UGUGCCAACUCCUGAUGGAGGAUGCAUCUGCAAGGGCAUUAGCAAGUAUUACACAAAGGGUGAUUUUGAGAUCAAGGAAGAAGACAUCAAGGUUGGCAAAGAAAAGGCUAGGGGAAUGUUCAAGGCUAUUGAAGCUUACCUCUUGGCAAAUCCUGAUGCCUAGAACAUUUUUAUUACAAGUGGUUAUAAUCAGUUAAAAAGUUUGGA
rnacentral:misc_RNA from 1 species